CUGCUGUUUCCUCCGAGAGCCGGGCGGCCGACUGCGGAUUUUCUGCAAUGAGAACCAGAUCUGCUGGCAAGAAGUGGAAGCAGCAGCUCGGCGGAGAUGUCUGUCUGAGGGCUCGCCGGUCACCUCUGUCCUGCCGAAGUGUCCUCGGGCAAGGCGACCGACCUCUGACCCCUCCCUCCUCCAGCCCGUCACUGACGGCCGUCAAUCAGCGUCGCCAUAGAGACCUCUAUCUGGACAACACCUGUCCCGGAUUGGUCCAACUCCAAAACCUUUAUGUAAC